rnacentral:misc_RNA from 1 species
GAAAUGCGAUAAGUAAUGUGAAUUGCAGAAUUCAGUGAAUCAUCGAAUCUUUGAACGCACAUUGCGCCCGCCAGUAUUCUGGCGGGCAUGCCUGUUCGAGCGUCAUUUCAACCAUCAAGCCCCCGGCUUGUGUUGGGGACCUGCGGCUACCCGCAGGCCCUGAAAACCAGUGGCGGGCUCGCUGUCACACCGAGCGUAGUAGCAUACAUCUCGCUCAGGGCGUGCUGCGGGUUCCGGCCGUUAAAAGCCUUUUUUUACCCAAGGUUGACCUCGGAUCAGGUAGGAAGACCCGCUGAACUUAAGC